UACGGAGGGUGCAAACGUUGCUCGGAAUCAUUGGGCGUAAAGCGCACGUAGGCGGCCUGUUAAGUCGGAUGUGAAAGCCCCGGGCUCAACCCGGGAAGUGCAUACGAAACUGGCGGGCUUGAGUAUGGAAGAGGGUCGCGGAAUUCCCGGUGUAGAGGUGAAAUUCGUAGAUAUCGGGAGGAACACCAGUGGCGAAGGCGGCGACCUGGGCCAAUACUGACGCUGAGGUGCGAAAGCGUGGGGAGCAAACAGG
rnacentral:rRNA from 1 species